CAUACACCAAAUAUAGUUGACCUAUUGCAUACAGUGUAAGAAAAACAGACCAAAUCACAAAAACUUAACUUUAAGUCUAUAACCACUGAACCAUGAAAAUGGGGUCAAGGUCAGAUAACACCUGCCAGUUGGACACCUUACAGUCCUUCCAUACAACGAAUAUACUAGACCUAUUGCUUAUAGUAUCUGUGAUAUGGACGACCACCAAAACUUAAACUUGUUCACUGAUCCUUGAAAUGAGGUCGAGGUAAAGUGAAAACUGUCUGUCAAGCAUGAGGACCUUGCAAGGUACGCACAUACCAAAUAUAG
rnacentral:lncRNA from 1 species